GACGUAGGUGGCGAGCGUUAUCCGGAUUCAUUGGGCGUAAAGAGCUUGUAGGUGGCGGCGUAAGUUGGACGUGAAAUCGCCCGGCUCAACCGGGCGGGUCGUUCAAUACUGCGCGGCUGGAGGAGGUCAGAGGGAAGUGGAAUUCCUGGUGUAGCAGUGAAAUGCGUAGAUAUCAGGAGGAACACCCGUGGCGAAGGCGGCUUCCUGGGCCAUCCUGACACUGAGAAGCGAAAGCUAGGGGAGCGAACGGG
rnacentral:rRNA from 1 species